AUUGAGAUGAUGAUUAUUUCCCCAGAUGAUCGAAGUUGAUUAUACUGAGCGCAUUUAUUAUAGUUCUCUUUAAUAGGGAACUCCAAGCCAGAAAUCUGAUCCGAUUUUUUGUAUAAUUGUUUUAUGAUUUUUUUAUUGUUUUUCUGUGAAUGUGAAUGUCUCUGAUGAUGAUCCAAAUAAAACUUUCGUUCUUCUGAAUAUCUUUGUGGAAACGAUUAUUGGAGACCUGAACUGAAGAGGC
rnacentral:lncRNA from 1 species